CUAGGAUAUUUGUGGCAAUGGGAGGGAUAAAGGGAAUUCUAGACUAUAAUCUUUUAUACACAUUUAUCUCUUCUCCAUCCCAGACUCAUCAAAAUCUCAUUUGCCCUGUUGUUCUGCUGUAAAUAUAAGGCUUUAGAACAGAGGUUGCUCUCCCCCUGGGAUUACAGCAGAAAGUCUCAAGCAACCCAGAUGUCCUGAAUUCUGGGGACUGCACCUGUUCGCUCUCUCGCUCCCAAAUUGGAAAGUCCCUGGUUUAUUGCGUCCAUGAUGAUUGGCUUUUGCUGCAGAACCUCCCCACCUACAUCCUCACGGCAACCCAUCUGCAUGGCCACCCACAUCAAAGUGACUUGUGUAAGGUGACACAGCUAGUAAGUAUCUGAGGCCAACCUUGAACUCAGGAAAAGGAGUUUUCCUGAAUGCAAGCCUACCUCUCUAUCCAUUGGACCAUUUAGCUUCCCGAAACACAAAAGGAAAAGGCCCUAUCCAGAAAAUAAUCCAGAAAUAACAUGUUUGUCACUGGAAUUCAUAAAUAUUUAUAUAUUAAAAACUAAUACAGAGUGUUGGAGGAAGGGAAUUCACUAGCAAUUGGGAUAUCAGGAAAGGAUUUACAUAGAAGGUGGCAAUGGAGAUGACUCUGAAAGGGUUCUGAGAAAAGGGGCCAAGGAGAGAAUCGAUUCCUAGGCAUUGGCGUCCACACUGAGAUGGCCUGGAAACUCACCACUCCUGUGGAAAGCUGGACUUUCAGAAGUUCUCACCAACUGGACGUGGACUUCUCUUCUCAUCAUCUCUCAGGUCAAGAGGCUCUUGACUAAGGGAGAAAUGGUUGAGGGUGAGGAUGAACAGAAAAUUCCUUUAUAAGAGGACAAGCUUUAUCACCUUCCAGGGACCAAGAUUUGGUCUAUGAUGAAUUCUCUCUGGAUUUCUUUCUGAAAGAUCAUCUGACUCCUCCUGCACUUUUUGUUUUUAUAUCAUAUUUUUAAAAUACCCUAGGGUAUACCCUCAAUCUUUAACAGGUCCCACACUGGUGCUGACAUGGAUGCCUGAGGAGUUAGAGUCUGGGUUAAUUGCUUUUGCUAAAACAUUCAUUGCCUAGUCUUCUUAUGGAGCAGAUAAUAUUUAAAAGGGGGGCAGGUAGGUGGUGCAGUAGAUAGAGAGCCAGACCAAGAUAUGGGAGGUCCUGGGUUCAAAUCUGACCUCAGCCACUUCCUUACUGUGUGACACUGAACAAGUCAUUUAACCCCCAUUGCUAACCCUUAUCACUCUUCUA
ensembl:lncRNA